AGUCCUCCGGCAGUGGAUUUACCAUGAUCAUAAAGAUGGUUUUCCUUAUCUAUUGCACUCAGGAUGUGCUGACCCCUUGCAUUUCUCCACACGUAGGAAACUCAGCUGCAAAAAUUUGUGGUACUGGAAGACUAUUCAUACUCUCCCC
rnacentral:snRNA from 1 species